AAUCCAUGAUUGGGGCACUUGCGAAGAAAACUUUUGUAUCGGUCCCAACAUUCAUACAUAUACUCUUCAUCGUCUUGGUGAAAAGAUGAUAUGGCAUUUCUAAGAUG